AUGACUUUGGGAUCAGGGAGAGGGAAAAAAAAAGGAAAAGGACAAAUCCAAAGCCACGCUCAGACCUGGAGGUUUCAUUCUCUGCUCCCAAAUCCCAAAGGUUUGGUCCUUUCCCUGCUCCCAAAUCCCGAAUGUUUGGCUCGUGGCCUGCUCCCAAAUCCCAAAGGUUUGCAUUCUUUCCCUGUUCCCGAAUCCCAAAGGUUUGCAUUCUUUCCCUGUUCCCGAAUCCCAAAGAUUUGGUUCAUUCCAUACUCCUCAAUCCCAAAGAUUUGGUUCGUUCCCCUGUCCCAAAUCCCAAAUGUUUGGUCCUUUCCCUACUCCCAAAUCCUGAAGGUUUGGUUCAUUCCCUGGUCCCAAAUCCCAGCUCAGGGAGAAGCCUCUGGAAGUCUCCCAAAUCCCAAAGGUUUGGUUCUUCCCCUGCUCCCAAAUCCCAAAGGUUUGGAUCCUUCCUUGAUCCCAAAUCCAGGAGGUUUGAUUAGUUCUCUCCUCCCAAAUCUCAAAGGUUUGGUUCCUUCUCUCCCAAAUCCCAAAAGUUUGGUUUUUUCUCUCCCAAAUCCCAAGGGUUUGGUCCUUCCCUUUCAUCGGGAUGUCCUGGAUUUUCAUGGAAAGGUUGGAAAAGCUGCCACAAUUUCCCAGGAAAAGGAUUGGGAACACACGUGGAGAAUCCCAAUAAACUCCACCCGUUCCCUCAGGGAUCUUUCCGGGCAUAUCCAGGGAUGAACAACCAGAGGUCACCAUGGAUCCUGUGGAGUGGGAUUUUCCCUGGAAUCCAUGGAUCCCAAUCACCUCCAUGGGAUUAGGGAUCUAUCCUGCUUUUUUUUGGGGACAUUUCCAUGGGUUUUAGGAUCUGUCCUGCUUUUUGAGGAGAAUUUCCUGCACUGGGAUGUGACUUCCAGGUUUUUGCUUCCCUAAAGCAGCAGCGAUUCCAGAGGCAUUGGAAAUCCCAAUCCUGCAGAAAUUCCAGGAAAAUCCACCCAGGCCAAGGUGUUCUAACCAAAUUCCAGGUGGUUUUGGGUUUUUUGGGGGUUUUUUUUGGCUGUUUUUGUUUUUCUUUUCCACUGGGAAUUUUGGAGCUGGAGAAUGAGGAUGGAAUUCUGGGAUUUUCCUUUCCUGACGGAUCCAGAUUUUCCAAACCGGCUGGAGAAGGGGAUAAAGAAUCCCAGGAAUUUUUUCCUGGAGAUCAUAGGGACCCUAAAACAGAAUUUGGGAUUGUCUCAAUCCCGAAUUUUGGGGUUUCAAUGGAGGAUUUUCCCUAAAACGGGAAAAAUCCAGGGAUGAGGAGAGGAAGAAAAAUCCAGGAGCACAAGGAUCCGCAGGAAUUUUAAAAUUCAGGAAUUUUCAAUGGAAGCUGAGCCAAAUGGAGCCUCAAAAUUCCCAAAUCCUCAAAAUUCCCUUUUCCGAGGCGUUGCUGCCAUCUAGGGGCUCCCGGUUGAAACAUGGAAAAUUGGGAUUUAUUCCUCAUUUUCCAGCGUUAUUCCCAACCUUCAGCAUCGCGAUUCCUUUGGCUUUUCCAGCGGUUUUUUCCUGCUUCUUUUUGCAGCUGGAAUUUUUUAUUCCUAGAUUAAAUCCAGUGGUUUUUCCAAAAUUUUUCAUCCCAGUGAAAAUCAAGAUUUAUCCCCAGGGAAAUCCCGGCAAAGGUUUGGAUUCUUCCCAGAAAAAAACUUGGAAGGCACAAAACGUCUUUGGGGCUCAGAUGGGGGUAAAUUCCCAAAAAAUCGCAGGAAUGUGGGAAUUCCCAACUCCUCAUCCCAGCAAAUCCCUCAUCCCCACAGGGACAUGGAGCAGGAUCCUCAUUCCCCCCAUUUCCAUAGGGAAAGGCUGAAAAUUCCAUAAUUUUGGAGUUUUUCCCCAAUUUUUGCUCCUUCUCCCUCUCAUCUGCCCAAAAGUGUUUUGGGAAUGAGGGAACUUCCAGGGAAAAUUGGGAAUUCUCCUCUCAGUCCUCUCUGGGAUCCACCUGGAUGCAGUUUUCCCAAAAUAUUUUCCUUCCCAGGAAUCCUGGAUUCCUUUAAUUCCCAGUGCUCCUCGUCCAAAUGGGGCAAAGCACCAGGGAAAAAAUUCCCAUGGUUUGGAAAUCAAGUUGAAAUCGAGGAAUGGGAAUUCCCAAGGGUAAGGGAGCUCAGGGAAUGCUCAAGGAGCUGCCAGAGAAAUGGGAAUUCAAAGGAAUU
rnacentral:lncRNA from 1 species